AUACGUAGGGAGCGAGCGUUGUCCGGAAUUACUGGGUGUAAAGGGUGCGUAGGCGGGAUGGCAAGUCAGAUGUGAAAUGCCGGGGCUCAACCCCGGAGCUGCAUUUGAAACUGUCGUUCUUGAGUGAGGUAGAGGUAAGCGGAAUUCCUAGUGUAGCGGUGAAAUGCGUAGAUAUUAGGAGGAACAUCGGUGGCGAAGGCGGCUUACUGGGCCUUUACUGACGCUGAGGCACGAAAGCGUGGGGAGCAAACAGGAUUAGAUACCCUGGUAGUCCACGCUGUAAACGAUGAUGACUAGGUGUGGGGGGACUGAACCCUUCCGUGCCGCAGUAAACACAAUAAGUCAUCCACCUGGGGAGUACGGCCGCAAGGUUGAAACUCAAAUGAAUUGACGGGG
rnacentral:rRNA from 1 species